ACCUGGAUAGCUCAGUUGGUAGAGCUUCAGACUUUAAUUUGAGGAUUUAGGGUUCAAGUCCUUGUUCAGGUG
rnacentral:tRNA from 1 species